AACGAACGCUGGCGGCAGGCUUAACACAUGCAAGUCGAGCGAGACCUUCGGGUCUAGCGGCGGACGGGUGAGUAACGCGUGGGAACGUGCCCUUCUCUACGGAGUAGCCCCGGGAAACUGGGAGUAAUACCGUAUACGCCCUUUGGGGGAAAGAUUUAUCGGAGAAGGAUCGGCCCGCGUUGGAUUAGGUAGUUGGUGGGGUAAUGGCCCACCAAGCCGACGAUCCAUAGCUGGUUUGAGAGGAUGAUCAGCCACACUGGGACUGAGACACGGCCCAGACUCCUACGGGAGGCAGCAGUGGGGAAUCUUAGACAAUGGGGGCAACCCUGAUCUAGCCAUGCCGCGUGAGUGAUGAAGGCCUUAGGGUUGUAAAGCUCUUUCAGCUGGGAAGAUAAUGACGGUACCAGCAGAAGAAGCCCCGGCUAACUCCGUG
rnacentral:rRNA from 1 species